AGUCAACAUGCCCAGGGGACGUGGAUAACCUCGGGAAACUGAGGAUAAACCGCGAUAGGUCACUACUUCUGGAAUGGGUAAUGACCCAAACCUAUAUGGCCCCUGGAUUGGACUGCGGCCGAUCAGGCUGUUGGUGAGGUAAUGGCCCACCAAACCUGUAACCGGUACGGGCUCUGAGAGGAGGAGCCCGGAGAUGGGCACUGAGACAAGGGCCCAGGCCCUAUGGGGCGCAGCAGGCGCGAAACCUCUGCAAUAGGCGAAAGCUUGACAGGGUUACUCUGAGUGAUUUCCGUUAAGGAGAUCUUUUGGCACCUCUAAAAAUGGUGCAGAAUAAGGGGUGGGCAAGUCUGGUGUCAGCCGCCGCGGUAAUACCAGCACCCCGAGUGGUCGGGACGUUUAUUGGGCCUAAAGCAUCCGUAGCCGGUUCUACAAGUCUUCCGUUAAAUCCACCUGCUCAACAGAUGGGCUGCGGAAGAUACUAUGGAGCUAGGAGGCGGGAGAGGCAAGCGGUACUCGAUGGGUAGGGGUAAAAUCCGUUGAUCCAUUGAAGACCACCAGUGGCGAAGGCGGCUUGCCAGAACGCGCUCGACGGUGAGGGAUGAAAGCUGGGGGAGCAAACCGGAUUAGAUACCCGGGUAGUCCCAGCUGUAAACGAUGCAGACUCGGUGAUGAGUUGGCUUUAUGCCAACUCAGUGCCGCAGGGAAGCCGUUAAGUUUGCCGCCUGGGGAGUACGGUCGCAAGACUGAAACUUAA
rnacentral:rRNA from 1 species